rnacentral:misc_RNA from 1 species
AAGACUAUAGACCUGCGGAGUACCUGCGGAAGGAUCAUUACCGAAGUUACCCUUCUAAACCCUUUGUGAACCCUACCCCUGCCGUUGCCUCGGCGGGAGGCGGGGGGGCGCCCCCCGGGGCCGCCCCCGCCCCCGCCGGCGGCGCCAAACUCUUAUUUGCACAGCGGAAACGCCUCUGAUUUUGGAAUAAAACAAGUCAAAACUUUUAACAAUGGAUCUCU